GAACUGGGCGCUGCCCUCCAACUGCUGGGACUUCGCCCUUGGGGAGGGGAGAAAAGGAGCUGCGAAGGCCUGGAAGGAAGAGAAAGGCAAAUUACCGGCUUCUAAUUAAUCGUUUUAAUUAGAAGCUGGGAGCAAAAGCUUCUCACGCACCGUCAGGAUCCGCUGCUACAGCCUGGAGAGGGGGGACUUCCUUUGGGCAGCCACCGGAACGAUGGACCCCAUCGAGCAGCAACUCCUGGACCUCAACCACCAGAACAGAAUCCUCCGCCUUCAGUUGGAAGCGACGCGAGAAGCCGGAAUCCAAGCUUUAAAAUCAGCAUCCCAACGAUUUUCGGAGACCUACAAGAAGAAACAGGAAGAACUGAAGAAAUCCCACCAUGAGGAGAAGCAGCGAAUGGAGGCAGCCAGGAUCAUAGAGUUGAGGAAGGAGUGGCGGAAGAACAUGGCGGAGGAAGAGGAACAAAGGCGACGGAUGGCGGAAGUGGAAGAGAGGCUGCGAAGGAUGGAGGAGGAGAAGCGAAUGCUGAGCACCAAGAAGCUCAAGCUGGAGCUGCAGCUCCUCCAGCCUCCCUUAAGGGCUUCAGCCCGUUUGCGGGAGGAGAUCGGCACCUUGGAGGAGCAGCUGGCCCACCUGCAGGCGGUGAUGGAGAGGCAGCACGGCGCCUUGCGUGGGGUCAUUGGUCAAGCGGAGGAGCUGAGGAGGGAAGCGAGGAUGAAGGAGCGGAGGGUGGAGGAGAUGGAGGAGAGGCUGAGGGGCUUGGAGGAGGAGAAUAAGGAGCUGAAGGCGAGAUUGACAGCUCAGCUGGGCCAAUCCGCCGCCAGGCUUUCCAAAGGGGUGGGGACCGAAAGCUUUCGUCCCAUUGGUUCUUUGGAGGCGGUGCAAAGCUGCCGGAUUCGCAAGCUCUACCAAUCAGGAGGCAGAAUGGAGUCCUAGGUCCUCCAGGGGCAUAGAGUUGGUGGGGUCCUCCAGGGUCAUAGAGUUGGUGGGUUGUUGGGGUCCUCCAGGGUCAUAGAGUUGGUGGGUUGCUGGGGUCCUCCAGGGUCAUAGAGUUGGUGGGUGGUGGGAAGGGGGGUCCUCCAGGGUCAUAGAGUUGGUGGGGUCCUCCAAGCUCAUAGAGUUGGUGGGUUGUUGGGGUCCUCCAGGGUCAUAGAGUUGGUGGGUGGUGGGAAGGGGGGUCCUCCAGGAUCAUAGAGAUGUAGGGUGGUGGGAUAGGAGGGUCUUCCUUCCCGUGGCUCUGUGAUAUUUGUCUCUCCUACCCAACCAUUGCGCAACUCUAUGACCCUGGAGGACCUUCCUUCCCCACAACUCUAUGAUCCUGGAGGACCACCCCCCCACCCCCUUCCAUUCUACCAAUACAAACACCACACGAAUGCAAAUGAAA